rnacentral:rRNA from 1 species
GAUGAACGCUGGCGGCGUGCCUAAUACAUGCAAGUCGAGCGAACGGACGAGAAGCUUGCUUCUCUGAUGUUAGCGGCGGACGGGUGAGUAACACGUGGAUAACCUACCUAUAAGACUGGGAUAACUUCGGGAAACCGGAGCUAAUACCGGAUAAUCUUUUGAACCGCAUGGUUCAAAAGUGAAAGACGGUCUUGCUGUCACUUAUAGAUGGAUCCGCGCUGCAUUAGCUAGUUGGUAAGGUAACGGCUUACCAAGGCAACGAUGCAUAGCCGACCUGAGAGGGUGAUCGGCCACACUGGAACUGAGCCACGGUCCAGACUCCUACGGGAGGCAGCAGUAGGGAAUCUUCCGCAAUGGGCGAAAGCCUGACGGAGCAACGCCGCGUGAGUGAUGAAGGUCUUCGGAUCGUAAAACUCUGUUAUUAGUGAAGAACAUAUGUGUAAGUAACUGUGCACAUCUUGACGGUACCUAAUCAGAAAGCCACGGCUAACUACGUG